rnacentral:rRNA from 1 species
CUAGCUACAGGCUUAACACAUGCAAGUCGAGGGGCAGCAUGGUCUUAGCUUGCUAAGGCCGAUGGCGACCGGCGCACGGGUGAGUAACACGUAUCCAACCUGCCGUCUACUCUUGGACAGCCUUCUGAAAGGAAGAUUAAUACAAGAUGGCAUCAUGAGUCCGCAUGUUCACAUGAUUAAAGGUAUUCCGGUAGACGAUGGGGAUGCGUUCCAUUAGAUAGUAGGCGGGGUAACGGCCCACCUAGUCUUCGAUGGAUAGGGGUUCUGAGAGGAAGGUCCCCCACAUUGGAACUGAGACACGGUCCAAACUCCUACGGGAGGCAGCAGUGAGGAAUAUUGGUCAAUGGGCGAGAGCCUGAACCAGCCAAGUAGCGUGAAGGAUGACUGCCCUAUGGGUUGUAAACUUCUUUUAUAAAGGAAUAAAGUCGGGUAUGGAUACCCGUUUGCAUGUACUUUAUGAAUAAGGAUCGGCUAACUCCGUGCCAGCAGCCGCGGUAAUACGGAGGAUCCGAGCGUUAUCCGGAUUUAUUGGGUUUAAAGGGAGCGUAGAUGGAUGUUUAAGUCAGUUGUGAAAGUUUGCGGCUCAACCGUAAAAUUGCAGUUGAUACUGGAUAUCUUGAGUGCAGUUGAGGCAGGCGGAGUUCGUGGUGUAGCGGUGAAAUGCUUAGAUAUCACGAAGAACUCCGAUUGCGAAGGCAGCCUGCUAAGCUGCAACUGACAUUGAGGCUCGAAAGUGUGGGUAUCAAACAGGAUUAGAUACCCUGGUAGUCCACGCGGUAAACGAUGAAUACUCGCUGUUUGCGAUAUACUGCAAGCGGCCAAGCGAAAGCGUUAAGUAUUCCACCUGGGGAGUACGCCGGCAACGGUGAAACUCAAAGGAAUUGACGGGGGCCCGCACAAGCGGAGGAACAUGUGGUUUAAUUCGAUGAUACGCGAGGAACCUUACCCGGGCUUAAAUUGCAGAUGAAUUACGGUGAAAGCCGUAAGCCGCAAGGCAUCUGUGAAGGUGCUGCAUGGUUGUCGUCAGCUCGUGCCGUGAGGUGUCGGCUUAAGUGCCAUAACGAGCGCAACCCUUGUUGUCAGUUACUAACAGGUUCCGCUGAGGACUCUGACAAGACUGCCAUCGUAAGAUGUGAGGAAGGUGGGGAUGACGUCAAAUCAGCACGGCCCUUACGUCCGGGGCUACACACGUGUUACAAUGGGGGGUACAGAGGGCCGCUACCACGCGAGUGGAUGCCAAUCCCCAAAACCUCUCUCAGUUCGGACUGGAGUCUGCAACCCGACUCCACGAAGCUGGAUUCGCUAGUAAUCGCGCAUCAGCCACGGCGCGGUGAAUACGUUCCCGGGCCUUGUACACACCGCCCGUCAAGCCAUGGGAGCCGGGGGUACCUGAAGUGCGUAACCGCGAGGAGCGCCCUAGGGUAAAACUGGUGACUGGGGCUAAGU